rnacentral:hammerhead_ribozyme from 1 species
AUCCAACUGAUGACUCCCAAAUAGGAUGAAACGCGUGUGCUGGAU